rnacentral:tRNA from 1 species
UCUCGUGUGGCUCAGUUGGUAGAGCAUCGCACUUCCAAUGCGAAGGUUGUAGAUUCAAUUCCCAUGGGGG